rnacentral:rRNA from 1 species
UGGGGAAUAUUGCACAAUGGAGGGAACUCUGAUGCAGCGACGCCGCGUGAACGAAGAAGGCUUUCGAGUCGUAAAGUUCUUUUAUAUGGGAAGAUAAUGACGGUACCAUAAGAAAAAGCCCCGGCUAACUACGUGCCAGCAGCCGCGGUAAUACGUAGGGGGCUAGCGUUGUCCGGAAUCACUGGGCGUAAAGGGUUCGCAGGCGGCAAUGCAAGUCAGGUGUAAAAGGCAGUAGCUUAACUACUGUAAGCAUUUGAAACUGCAUAUCUUGAGAAGAGUAGAGGUAAGUGGAAUUUUUAGUGUAGCGGUGAAAUGCGUAGAUAUUAAAAAGAAUACCGGUGGCGAAGGCGACUUACUGGGCUCAUUCUGACGCUGAGGAACGAAAGCGUGGGUAGCAAACAGG